ACUAUAGAUUUCUAUGAACGUACUAAAUUUAAAUACAAAAUGAAAACUUUCGUGAAUAUAAAAAAUAUACUUCACUGAAGAGACCUGGAACGUGUUGCAAUUCAUGGAUUAUUUUAAGUGUUGUUAGCUGUUCAGUGUUUUUUUCUGGAUCAUUUCAAAUGCAGUGAAUAUCUGUGGAAUAUAAAAUAUAAAGACUUUAAUUUACAAAAAUACUUCAGUUUUAAGUAAAUUGAAGAUUCCUUUAAGGAAAUGUUUAAUUAUUGGUAACAAGUUUUACCAAUGUAGAAGAUGGACACAGAUUCCAAACGUUUUGAAGACGCCGGCAAUAGAGUCGAACGUGGUAUGGGUAUUUCCCCAAAAGUCUUGUACCAUUCUCGUCCAGUUUCUUCGCAGCCUUGUCCACAGCCUUUCGAAGCCGAGGGUCGCUCACCUCAAAGUCAACAUCGUCCAGACCCUCCAUCAUCUCGCUGUCAUCGCUUAGGACGCUUCCAGACGAAGCCAGGCGUUCGCGAGGAGGCGAGGAUCUGGAGCUCAUCAUCGAUUUAACCCAAACGAAAACGAUUGACCAUGGAAAUGACCAUUAAUUACCCUUGAAGUUCUGACCACACAAGAAGUCCACACAGAUCAAGUUCAGAAACUUUUUUUAUAUUAUAAAGUUCUGAAACUACCGCACGCUAAGGCACAUUGGACUAUUGAGGUGACUCACUCUACCUUAACUUUUGGACGGCUACCAACUUAUAAAGAAAACAAAAAAACAUCUCCAAAGUUGACGUUUAGAACUUCUUCCAACAACUCGGAUCAGGAUAAAAAAGACUUUUUGUUAUAAUGUGAUUUUGUUCUUCGUUGAUCUACAUAAUUUGCCUGUUAUUAUAUAGUGACGAAAAUUAAUCGUACAAUCACCGUCUGUGACACAGAACUUCAUGUGAUUUUUGAACGAGGCCCCACGGGGAUUCAUAUGGAGAAAAAAUUAUCUUCCUUUGCUGAAGGGAUUAAAAUUUCCGUUCACUCAAGACCGGAUUAAGCACGUUUGCUCUACCACUGCACAGCAAGGGCGGUUAGAUGAGCGUUUCCUUGUUCUCUGAAUAUUUCUCUUAUUAGCCAUUAAAUAA